GUUAACUCCCCACUUAAAGCGGGUUUCCACAGGUUCCUAACUCUUUAACAAAGUAGAUAUAUUCGGCGUGUUUGUCAAGAUGGAGACCAAGGAAACCAAGGACGAUCAGUCAAUCCAGAACAAGCAUGUUAGGAGACGGAAAAAGCAAUUGUACAAACAGAUAAGAUCGCAGAUGGAGUUUUAUUUUAGUGAUUCAAAUCUUUUGAAAGACAGGUACUUGAAGAAACUCAUAGAUGAUACACCAGAUUCAUGUA